UACGAAGGGGGCUAGCGUUGCUCGGAAUCACUGGGCGUAAAGCGCACGUAGGCGGACUCUUAAGUCAGGGGUGAAAUCCUGGAGCUCAACUCCAGAACUGCCUUUGAUACUGGGAGCCUCGAGUUCGGGAGAGGUGAGUGGAACUGCGAGUGUAGAGGUGAAAUUCGUAGAUAUUCGCAAGAACACCAGUGGCGAAGGCGGCUCACUGGCCCGAUACUGACGCUGAGGUGCGAAAGCGUGGGGAGCAAACAGG
rnacentral:rRNA from 1 species